UUACCGCAUACCGCACCAUUAGAAAAGGGAAACCAAGCCAAACAUCGUAGCCUGUUGCAGUAUUGCUUAAGGGCCAAGAGGUGACAAAUGCCGCAAGGCCACCAAUCCCUCCUUGAUCGACGCUAGCGCCAAGUACCCGACGGGGCUGUUCCAGGGCACGUGGUCCGACCUGGGCGCCUUCGACGAGUGCAUCGAGACCGUGGCCCUCGACCGGAACGGCGGCGAAAUGGCGCGCGGCCAGUACUGCAACGUCUACGUGAAGAUGGCCAACGACACCUCAUUCUUCGACGAGAUGCUGCCUAACUUCAUCAUGGCCCACGAGCGGUCUCCGGUUCUGCUGCGUGCGCAAGAGGACAAGCGAGUGCUGGGAAUGCGCCUGGGUCUUUGCACCAUCGCCGACUGCACCAGAGACGAUCUUCAAGCCCUCGCCG
rnacentral:lncRNA from 1 species